CGGAGGAUUGAGAAGGUUGAGCAGCAGCUGUGCGGCUUUAACUGGUUACAACCUCCAAAACUAAUGAUUCAGAUGCAGCCUCCUGUUUUGUGAUAAUACCAUGCACAGAGCGUUGCUGCGUCUGCUUA
rnacentral:snoRNA from 1 species